UUCCCGUGGGUGUCGCAUAGUCCCUCGCCGUCGGCGUCGUUGCUGUUCCCGUGGGUGUCGCGUGUUGCCUUCGACUCGCCGUCACUGUCCCCUCGCCGUCGCUGUCGCUGCUGAUCCCGUUGGUGUCGCGCGUUGCCUUCGCCUCGCCGUCGCUGUCCUCUCGCCGUCGCCGCCGUUGCCACCCGCUGCUGCAGCUGCCGCCACUCCAAGUAAGUGUGUGUGUAAAAAUACUCCCCAAUCCUGGUACAAUAUGUGAUGAGACAUCUAUUGUAGGGGUUGAGUACUUUGGUAUAUUGUAGGGGUUGAGUACUUUGCAUAUUUUCAAUUCAUUUUACUCCUCUCUCUCCUAGUACAGUAUGUGAUGUUGAAGGUGAAGCUGCUUCCUGUUUAACAUCAUUUUCUUUCUUUAUUUUAGUGGGUUUAGGUUGAAUUUCUAGUUGGGUUGUUUUGAUCCUGUUUUCAAGCACAAAAACCCUGUAAAAACCUUUUUCUGAAAUUUCCCUGUGUUCAUAUUUUGUUGAAGGUUUAGGGCUAAAGGGGUUUUUAUUUCCUUCUCCCUUUUCAAUCCUUUGAAUGAAGGAUAUUAAAUUUUUCUUGUUUUUAUAUAUUUCCUCUAUUUAGAGAAAAACCCUUGCAAAACCCCUUUCAUGAAUUUCCUUUUUUUUUUUUCUAUUUAAUUUUUGUAACCUAUGAUUCAGUUUAGAGGUUAGGCUUAAAGGGCUCUAAAUACACUAGCUUUAGCCAAGCCAGGAAGAGAAAGUAAGAAAGGGGUGAAGUUUUGCUGUUGUGAUCUUGCACUGUAGCUCUUAGUAAAUGCAUGGAUGGAAGAGAAGCCAUGGCAUUAGCUAGUGGGUCAGCACCAUAUUUCAUUCAUAGAGGAGGUGGGAUUGUUGGGGCUGGGUCUGGAUCUCAAAUUGGUCCAAUACAUGUCCCACCUGGGUUCAGACCCUUGUCAAACCCCAAUCUAGCAGCUCAAUCAAAUGUCAGGCCAGGUUCAUCUGGCCCAGCAUUUUCAAUGGAGCCAUCAAAUGCAAAUUUUGCUCAUGGCAUUAACAUCCACUCCAGAUGCCUCGAAGAGCAGUAUCAUCUAGAGGUAGAGGACAUAGCCAGCAACUCUCUACGAAUGAAACAGAUGAGCCAGUACAGAUGCAAGAGGAAACACUGGAGCACACUCCAGCAGCAUUAGGGGGACAAGAAAACGCAUCAUCAUCAUCAUCAGUUCGAACUUGUGUUGUGUGAUUAUUUCUUUUUUGUAGGCAAAGAAGUUAGGUAGGCAACCAACUCAACUUGAACUAUUUCGUGCCACUCACACAAAAAAGGGGAGUCAAGGUGUUUUCAUUGAUGGAAAAUCACAACGAGUUGAUGGAGCUUAUUUGACUGCCAUUGCUGAAAAUGUGAAUGACAAUUGUGAUAGUCAGUCUGCUUUUGAUUUGAAUAAGUGGAUGGAAAUUUCUGGAAGUAGUAAAGGGAGGGUUUAUGGUUUUGGAUCUUCUGAUAUUGCAAAAUCUGGAACUCCAACUACCUCUUUCUCAUGCACAUCAGCUCAUCCUGGAGGACCUUCUCAAACUAUGUUUUCUUUAGAGGAGGUUGAACAAAUAUUAGAGCAAAACCGGGUCAAAAUGAAACAAGACAUGGAGCAAAUGCAAGAGCAAAUGCAAGAGCAAAUGCGAGUGCAGAUAGAAAAGCAAAUAAAAGAUCAGAUGAAAUCAUUGAAGAACAAAAAAAGAUCUUCACCGCAUAAUCCAACUGCAGAUUGUACUUCUCUAUCAGAUGGUUCAACAAAUUCAUAGAUUAGUUUUUAGUUUUAUGAACAUUGUUAAGUAUAAUUGAUUUAUUUUAAAUUUUAUGACGAUUGUUAAGUAUUA